UCAUGACCUGAGUUGAAGGCAGACACUUAACCAACUGAGCCACCCAGGUGCCCCUUUGUGAGGCUCUUAUUAAGAAUAUCAUUUCAGAGUUCCCAAAGUACUUCAACAUAGAUUCAACUUUUCCCAGAAGAGGGGUGACCCUGUGAGUGCCAAGUACCACCUGAUAUUUCAGAGAUUAUAUAUGGUUUUUUAUUUUUUGCAAUUUCUGAGAAUUUUAACUUGUCUUGCUCAGUUUGGAGCUCAGACCAUGGAGGGGGAAAAAAAAACAACAAAAAAACAUGAUUCACAUUGAAUUCACUGAUGGAGUCCAGCACCUCACAUGGUCUCCAUUUACUCUCUAGAACUUCUAUCCCUUCUUCCCAGCUAGUGCUGUUUACCAGCCAAUCGUGCUUUGGGGAUUAACAUGAGAACAUCAGGAAACGAAGGAGUCCAUCUUGUUGGACAGAGAGCAGAGUGGUUUCUUUCCCAAACAAGAUUUCUGAUCAUGAAACAAGAUUUCCACAGCUCUGGCGGGAGUUCUUCCCAGAUAAGUACUGGGUCAGAUCUUAUUUCACAGUAGGAAUGCAAACAGCACAUUUGUGAAAGUUUUUCUUUCUGUUUUCAGUGAAUUUAGUUCUCUAGCUGGAUUAAGAUCUUUGGUUACAUCAAAUCUCCAGUUGGCAGAAGACCAGACCUAAUUUUUCAAAGAGAACAUUGUCAUGGAAAAUACUUUUAAAAGUGGAUGUAAUUUGCCUAAAGCAGCUGUUAGUAGGAAGCACACCCAAGAGACGUGAGGCUCAAGAAAAUGGUGUAUCUCUGUGUGGUUCUCCCUGGAUCCCCCACAAGGGCUACUGGCUGACUUUCAAAAUCGAGAAGAAAAGCAAGAAGGAAAUUCCUCUAAGGAUAUUAUGAAAUCGCUCUUGGCUUCUUUUGUUCAAAAAAGGAAAUCGUGAUAGGGGUAAUUUAAAAUAAAAAUAAAUAA